AUUGAACGCUGGCGGCAGGCCUAACACAUGCAAGUCGAACGAGUGGCGGACGGGUGAGUAAUGUCUGGGAAUCUGCCUGAUGGAGGGGGAUAACUACUGGAAACGGUAGCUAAUACCGCAUACCAUCGGAUGUGCCCAGAUGGGAUUAGCUAGUCGGUGGGGUAACGGCUCACCUAGGCGACGAUCCCUAGCUGGUCUGAGAGGAUGACCAGGCACACUGGAACUGAGACACGGCCCAGACUCCUACGGGAGGCAGCAGUGGGGAAUAUUGCACAAUGGGCGCAAGCCUGAUGCAGCCAUGCCGCGGGGAUGAAGAAGGCCUUCGGGUUGUAAAGUACUUUCAGCGGUGAGGCGUUACCAGCAGAAGAAGCACCGGCUAACUCCGUGCCAGCAGCCGCGGUAAUUC
rnacentral:rRNA from 1 species